CCUACGGGGGGCUGCAGUGAGGAAUAUUGGUCAAUGGGCGCGAGCCUGAACCAGCCAAGCAGCGUGAGGGAUGAAGGUCCUACGGGUUGUAAACUUCUUUUGUAAAGGAAUAAAGUCAGGCACGUGUGCCUUGUUGUAUGUACUUUAUGAAUAAGGAUCGGCUAACUCCGUGCCAGCAGCCGCGGUAAUACGGAGGAUCCGAGCGUUAUCCGGAUUUAUUGGGUUUAAAGGGAGCGUAGAUGGGUUGUUAAGUCAGUUGUGAAAGUUCGGGGCUCAACCGUAAAAUUGCAAUUGAUACUGGCAGCCUGGAGUACAGGUGAGGUAGGCGGAAUUCGUGGUGUAGCGGUGAAAUGCUUAGAUAUCACGAAGAACUCCGAUUGCGAAGGCAGCUUACUAGACUGCCACUGACAUUGAUGCUCGAAAGCGUGGGUAUCAAACAGGAUUAGAUACCCGAGUAGUC
rnacentral:rRNA from 1 species